CGCAUCUGUGCAUGCAGCAUAUCAAUAAGCGGAGGAAAAAGAAACUAACAAGGAUUCCCUUAGUAACGGCGAGUGAAGCGGGAAGAGCUCAAAUUUGAAAUCUUCAAGGUUUUACCUUGACGAAUUGUAGUUUAAAGAAGUGUUUUUCUGUUGAAGUUUUGGUAAAAGUUCUUUGGAAUAGGACAUCAUAGAGGGUGAGAAUCCCGUAUUUGACCAUUAUUUUUCAGCUGUGUGAUACACUUUCAAAGAGUCGGAUUGUUUGGGAAUGCAGUCCAAAAUGGGUGGUAAAUUUCAUCUAAAGCUAAAUAUUGGCGAGAGACCGAUAGCGAACAAGUACCGUGAGGGAAAGAUGAAAAGAACUUUGAAAAGAGAGUUAAACAGUACGUGAAAUUGUCAAAAGGGAAGCGUUUGACACCAGUGUUGUUUUUCUCGAAAAUCAAUUAAAAAGAGUUUAGAUUUUGUUGUGUAUUGACCUUAACAGCUUGCAUUUCAAUUUUCUUGCUUUUUUUUAAUGCACUUUUCGUUUAACAAGUCAACAUUCAGUUUCUUUUGUUGUAAAAAGGUCAUUGGAAGGUGGCUUUCUUUUCGGAGAAAGUGUUUAUAGCCUUUGACUCCUGCAAUCGGAGAGGACUGAGGUCUGCAGCGUAGAUCCUUCGGGGUUAGAUACAUUUGUGCUAAGUUAUAGCUUUUUAUAGACAACUUGUUGACUAUGAUUAGUCUUGUAGCUUACUCGCUUAUGCUAUUUUACCUACGCUUAGGAUGUUGAACUCUAUCACACACAG
rnacentral:rRNA from 1 species